rnacentral:rRNA from 1 species
GGGGAACAACAGCUGGAAACGGCUGCUAAUACCCCAUAGGCUGAGGAGCAAAAGGAGGAAUCCGCCCAAGGAGGGGCUCGCGUCUGAUUAGUUAGUUGGUGAGGCAAUGGCUUACCAAGGCGACGAUCAGUAGCUGGUCCGAGAGGAUGAUCAGCCACACUGGGACUGAGACACGGCCCAGACUCCUACGGGAGGCAGCAGUGGGGAAUUUUCCGCAAUGGGCGAAAGCCUGACGGAGCAAUGCCGCGUGAAGGCAGAAGGCCCACGGGUCAUGAACUUCUUUUCUCGGAGAAGAAAAAAUGACGGUAUCUGAGGAAUAAGCAUCGGCUAACUCUGUGCCAGCAGCCGCGGUAAGACAGAGGAUGCAAGCGUUAUCCGGAAUGAUUGGGCGUAAAGCGUCUGUAGGUGGCUUUUCAAGUCCGCCGUC